ACUUAAAUUGAAGAGUUUGAUCAUGGCUCAGAUUGAACGCUGGCGGCAGGCCUAACACAUGCAAGUCGAGCGGUAGCACAGAGAGCUUGCUCUCGGGUGACGAGCGGCGGACGGGUGAGUAAUGUCUGGGAAACUGCCUGAUGGAGGGGGAUAACUACUGGAAACGGUAGCUAAUACCGCAUAAUGUCGCAAGACCAAAGUGGGGGACCUUCGGGCCUCAUGCCAUCAGAUGUGCCCAGAUGGGAUUAGCUAGUAGGUGGGGUAACGGCUCACCUAGGCGACGAUCCCUAGCUGGUCUGAGAGGAUGACCAGCCACACU
rnacentral:rRNA from 1 species